AGGGUUCGAUUCCGGAGAGGGAGCCUGAGAAAUGGCUACCACUUCCAAGGAAGGCAGCAGGCGCGCAAAUUACCCAAUCCUGACACGGAGAGGUAGUGACGAGAAAUACCGGUGUAGGACCCAUUGGGUACUACGUUCGGAAUGAGUACAAUUUAAAAACCUUAACGAGGAACAAUUGGAGGGCAAGUCUGGUGCCAGCAGC
rnacentral:rRNA from 1 species